UUGACAUCCAGAGAAUUUAGCAGAGAUGCUUUAGUGCCUUCGGGAACUCUGAGACAGGUGCUGCAUGGCUGUCGUCAGCUCGUGUUGUGAAAUGUUGGGUUAAGUCCCGCAACGAGCGCAACCCUUAUCCUUUGUUGCCAACACGUAAUGGUGGGAACUCAAAGGAGACUGCCGGUGAUAAACCGGAGGAAGGUGGGGAUGACGUCAAGUCAUCAUGGCCCUUACGAGUAGGGCUACACACGUGCUACAAUGGCGCAUACAAAGAGAAGCGACCUCGCGAGAGCAAGCGGACCUCAUAAAGUGCGUCGUAGUCCGGAUUGGAGUCUGCAACUCGACUCCAUGAAGUCGGAAUCGCUAGUAAUCGUAAAUCAGAAUGUUACGGUGAAUACGUUCCCGGGCCUUGUACACACCGCCCGUCACACCAUGGGAGUGGGUUGCAAAAGAAGUAGAUAGCUUAACCUUCGGGAGGGCGUUUACCACUUUGUGAUUCAUGACUGGGGUGAAGUCGUAACAAGGUAGGCGUAGUGCU
rnacentral:rRNA from 1 species